GCGAGGAGGCUUUCGACUGAGGGCUAGCGAGGGGAGCAGGGCUGGAGCAGGGCUGAAGCAGGGCCGCGGACCCCGCACGCUCCUGCGGGCCCCGCGGAGCCAUUGCGGCCGAGGCCUCGGCCGGCGCCAGCAAAGAGCUAGCCGCAUCUUCGGGGGCAGCCGGGCAGCGGCCGGCGGCGCGGCGAGAGAGCGACUGACAAGAGGGGAUGCGAGGAGUGUGCACCAGGUCUCGCGAUAUCUUAUGUUUCCUAAAGGCGAGGCGCGGGCGGCAUCCUGCGGUGAAUUAAGAAGGUCUCGCCGAGCUAAAGCGUAA
rnacentral:lncRNA from 1 species